rnacentral:ncRNA from 2 species
CUCUUAUCCAGAGUGGCUGAGGGACUGGCCCGAUGAAGCCCGGCAACCUGCCCGCAAGGGGCGUGGUGCCAACACCUGCGGUCGAGACGACCGAUUGAUAAGAG